rnacentral:rRNA from 1 species
CAGUCGCCGCGGUAAUACGUAGGGUGCAAGCGUUAAUCGGAAUUACUGGGCGUAAAGCGUGCGCAGGCGGUUCUAUAAGACAGAUGUGAAAUCCCCGGGCUCAACCUGGGAACUGCAUUUGUGACUGUAGAGCUGGAGUGCGGCAGAGGGGGAUGGAAUUCCGCAUGUAGCAGUGAAAUGCGUAGAUAUGCGGAGGAACACCGAUGGCGAAGGCAAUCCCCUGGGCCUGCACUGACGCUCAUGCACGAAAGCGUGGGGAGCAAACAGGAUUAGAUACCCCCGUAGUCCCUGUCUCUUAUAC